GAUGAACGCUAGCUACAGGCUUAACACAUGCAAGUCGAGGGGAAACGACAUUGAAGCUUGCUUCGAUGGGCGUCGACCGGCGCACGGGUGAGUAACGCGUAACCAACCUGCCUCUGACUAAGGGAUAACCCGGCGAAAGUCGGACUAAUACCUUAUGAGGUUUUCAGCAGACAUCUAAUGAAAACGAAAGAUUUAUCGGUCAGUGAUGGGGAUGCGUCUGAUUAGCUUGUUGGCGGGGUAACGGCCCACCAUGGCAACGAUCAGUAGGGGUUCUGAGAGGAAGGUCCCCCAUAUUGGAACUGAGACACGGUCCAAACUCCUACGGGAGGCAGCAGUGAGGAAUAUUGGUCAAUGGGCGAGAGCCUGAACCAGCCAAGUAGCGUGCAGGACGACGGCCCUAUGGGUUGUAAACUGCUUUUAUGUGGGGAUAAAGUGAGCUACGUGUAGUUUAUUGCAGGUACCACAUGAAUAAGGACCGGCUGAUUCCGUGC
rnacentral:rRNA from 1 species